GUUCGCUCAUGCGGCUGAAGCCGGUCGUGAAGAUGUUUCCAUCAGCAAGGAAAAUGGCUCGCAUGGGCCGGGCUCCCUCGUGGGUUUUCUCUUUCUCAGCGAUGAUUUCUUGUUUCCUGGGGUCAAUGAUUCGAACUUUUUUGUCUUUGGAAGCUGUACAGAUUAGGCUGCCAUUGCGAUUCCAGCUCACAUUGUAGAUCACAUCCACGUGCAUGUCAUCUAGGUUGAUGAGGGCUUCACCUGUCCCCACGUUCCAG
rnacentral:lncRNA from 1 species